rnacentral:rRNA from 1 species
GAGGAAAAGAAACCAACUGGGAUUACCUUAGUAACGGCGAGUGAAGCGGUAAAAGCUCAAAUUUGAAAUCUGGUACUUUCAGUGCCCGAGUUGUAAUUUGUAGAAUUUGUCUUUGAUUAGGUCCUUGUCUAUGUUCCUUGGAACAGGACGUCAUAGAGGGUGAGAAUCCCGUUUGGCGAGGAUACCUUUUCUCUGUAAGACUUUUUCGAAGAGUCGAGUUGUUUGGGAAUGCAGCUCAAAGUGGGUGGUAAAUUCCAUCUAAAGCUAAAUAUUGGCGAGAGACCGAUAGCGAACAAGUACAGUGAUGGAAAGAUGAAAAGAACUUUGAAAAGAGAGUGAAAAAGUACGUGAAAUUGUUGAAAGGGAAGGGCAUUUGAUCAGACAUGGUGUUUUUUGCAUGCACUCGCCUCUCGUGGGCUUGGGCCUCUCAAAAAUUUCACUGGGCCAACAUCAAUUCUGGCAGCAGGAUAAAUCAUUAAGAAUGUAGCUACUUCGGUAGUGUUAUAGCUUUUUGGAAUACUGUUAGCCGGGAUUGAGGACUGCGCUUCGGCAAGGAUGUUGGCAUAAUGGUUAAAUGCCGCCCGUCU